UUGGACCUGAUAUCAGGU
rnacentral:rRNA from 2 species